UUGACCUCAAAUCAGGUAGGACUACCCGCUGAACUUAAGCAUAUCAAUAAGCGGAGGAAAAGAAACUAACAAGGAUUCCCCUAGUAACUGCGAGUGAAGCGGGAAAAGCUCAAAUUUAAAAUCUGGCAGUCUUUGGCUGUCUGAGUUGUAAUCUAGAGAAGUGUUGCCCACACUGGACCGUGUAUAAGUCUUCUGGAAUGAAGCGUCAUAGAGGGUGAGAAUCCCGUCUUUGACAUGGACUCCCCAGUGUAUUGUGGCGUGCUCUCAAAGAGUCGAGUUGUUUGGGAAUGCAGCUCUAAAUGGGUGGUAACCUCCAUCUAAAGCUAAAUAUUGG
rnacentral:rRNA from 1 species